GGGUUGUGAGGUUAAGCGACUAAGCGUACACGGUGGAUGCCCUGGCAGUCAGAGGCGAUGAAGGGCGUGCUAAUCUGCGAUAAGCGCCGGUAAGGUGAUAUGAACCGUUAUAACCGGCGAUACCCGAAUGGGGAAACCCAGUGUGACUCGUCACACUAUCAUUAACUGAAUCCAUAGGUUAAUGAGGCGAACCGGGGGAACUGAAACAUCUAAGUACCCCGAGGAAAAGAAAUCAACCGAGAUUCCCCCAGUAGCGGCGAGCGAACGGGGAGGAGCCCAGAGCCUGAAUCAGCAUGUGUGUUAGUGGAAGCGUCUGGAAAGGCGCGCGAUACAGGGUGACAGCCCCGUACACAAAAGCGCAUGUGCUGUGAGCUCGAUGAGUAGGGCGGGACACGUGGUAUCCUGUCUGAAUAUGGGGGGACCAUCCUCCAAGGCUAAAUACUCCUGACUGACCGAUAGUGAACCAGUACCGUGAGGGAAAGGCGAAAAGAACCCCGGCGAGGGGAGUGAAAAAGAACCUGAAACCGUGUACGUACAAGCAGUGGGAGCACCCUUUGGGUGUGACUGCGUACCUUUUGUAUAAUGGGUCAGCGACUUAUAUUCUGUAGCAAGGUUAACCGAAUAGGGGAGCCGGAGGGAAACCGAGUCUUAAUUGGGCGUUAAGUUGCAGGGUAUAGACCCGAAACCCGGUGAUCUAGCCAUGGGCAGGUUGAAGGUUGGGUAACACUAACUGGAGGACCGAACCGACUAAUGUUGAAAAAUUAGCGGAUGACCUGUGGCUGGGGGUGAAAGGCCAAUCAAACCGGGAGAUAGCUGGUUCUCCCCGAAAGCUAUUUAGGUAGCGCCUCGUGAAUUCAUCUCCGGGGGUAGAGCACUGUUUCGGCUAGGGGGCCAUCCCGGCUUACCAACCCGAUGCAAACUGCGAAUACCGGAGAAUGUUAUCACGGGAGACACACGGCGGGUGCUAACGUCCGUCGUGAAGAGGGAAACAACCCAGACCGCCAGCUAAGGUCCCAAAGUCAUGGUUAAGUGGGAAACGAUGUGGGAAGGCCCAGACAGCCAGGAUGUUGGCUUAGAAGCAGCCAUCAUUUAAAGAAAGCGUAAUAGCUCACUGGUCGAGUCGGCCUGCGCGGAAGAUGUAACGGGGCUAAACCAUGCACCGAAGCUGCGGCAGCGAACGUAUCACUUAAAGCGAUUCAGCGGGUUACGAUUGACGGAGCGAAGCGACGUCAAAGCGUAUACAAAGUCGAGUCGGUUUAAGGAUACGUUCGUUGGGUAGGGGAGCGUUCUGUAAGCCUGUGAAGGUGGCCUGUGAGGGUUGCUGGAGGUAUCAGAAGUGCGAAUGCUGACAUAAGUAACGAUAAAGCGGGUGAAAAGCCCGCUCGCCGGAAGACCAAGGGUUCCUGUCCAACGUUAAUCGGGGCAGGGUGAGUCGACCCCUAAGGCGAGGCCGAAAGGCGUAGUCGAUGGGAAACGGGUUAAUAUUCCCGUACUUGGUGUUACUGCGAAGGGGGGACGGAGAAGGCUAUGUUGGCCGGGCGACGGUUGUCCCGGUUUAAGCGUGUA
rnacentral:rRNA from 1 species